rnacentral:rRNA from 1 species
UUGAUCCUGCCGGACCCGACUGCUAUCAGAGUGGGACUAAGCCAUGCGAGUCAACAUAGCAAUAUGUGGCAUACGGCUCAGUAACACGUAGUCAACAUGCCCAGGGGACGUGGAUAACCUCGGGAAACUGAGGAUAAACCGCGAUACGUCACUACUUCUGGAAUGGGUAAUGACUUAAACCUAUAUGGCCCCUGGAUUGGACUGCGGCCGAUCAGGCUGUUGGUGAGGUAAUGGCCCACCAAACCUGUAACCGGUACGGGCUCUGAGAGGAGGAGCCCGGAGAUGGGCACUGAGACAAGGGCCCAGGCCCUAUGGGGCGCAGCAGGCGCGAAACCUCUGCAAUAGGCGAAAGCCUGGCAGGGUUACUCUGAGUGAUUUCCGUUAAGGAGAUCUUUUGGCACCUCUAAAAAUGGUGCAGAAUAAGGGGUGGGCAAGUCUGGUGUCAGCCGCCGCGGUAAUACCAGCACCCCGAGUGGUCGGGACGUUUAUUGGGCCUAAAGCAUCCGUAGCCGGUUCUGCAAGUCUUCCGUUAAAUCCACCUGCUUAACAGAUGGGCUGCGGAAGAUACUAUAGAGCUAGGAGGCGGGAGAGGCAAGCGGUACUCGAUGGGUAGGGGUAAAAUCCGUUGAUCCAUUGAAGACCACCAGUGGCGAAGGCGGCUUGCCAGAACGCGCUCGACGGUGAGGGAUGAAAGCUGGGGGAGCAAACCGGAUUAGAUACC